rnacentral:rRNA from 1 species
CCUACGAGUGGCAGCAGUGGGGAAUAUUGCGCAAUGGGCGAAAGCCUGACGCAGCGACGCCGCGUGAGGGAUGAAGGUCUUCGGAUCGGAAACCUCUGUCAGCAGGGAAGAACGGUCACUGUGCUAAUCAGCAGUGAAUUGACGGUACCUGCAAAGCACGCACCGUAUAACUCCCUGCCAGCAGCCGCUGGAAUACGGCGGGUUCGAGCGUACAUCGGAAUUACUGGGCGUAAAUCGCUCGUAGGAGGUAUGGCAAGUCCAGGGUGAAAUCCCCGCGCUCAACGUGGGAACUGCCUUUGAAACUGGCAAACUGGAGUGUGUGAGAGGAUAGUGGAAUUCCAGGUGUAGGAGUGAAAUGCGUAGAUAUCUGGAGGAACAUCAGUGGCGAAGGCGACUAUCUGGCACAUAACUGACGCUGAGGAGCGAAAGCGUGGGUAGCAAACAGGAUUAGAUACCCUUGUAGUC